CCCUUAGAUGUCCUGGGCCGCACGCGCGCUACAAUGACCGGCGCAGCAAGUUUUUUCCUGACCUGGAAAGGUUCGGGUAAUCUUUAUAAUACCGGUCGUGUUAGGGAUCGAUCUUUGGAAUUAUAGAUCUUGAACGAGGAAUUCCUAGUAAGUGCAAGUCAUCAGCUUGUACUGAUUACGUCCCUGCCCUUUGUACACACCGCCCGUCGCUGCUACCGAUUUCGAGUGGUCCGGUGAACCUUUUGGACUGUGUUAGUUUUGUCUGAUACGGGAAGUUAAGUAAACCUUAUCACUUAGAGGAAGCAGAAGUCGUAACA
rnacentral:rRNA from 1 species